UACAGAGGUCUCAAGCGUUGUUCGGAUUCAUUGGGCGUAAAGGGUGCGUAGGCGGCGCGGUAAGUCGGGUGUGAAAUCUUGGAGCUUAACUCCGAGACUGCAUUCGAUACUGCCGUGCUUGAGGACUGGAGAGGAGACUGGAAUUUACGGUGUAGCAGUGAAAUGCGUAGAGAUCGUAAGGAAGACCAGUGGCGAAGGCGGGUCUCUGGACAGUUCCUGACACUGAGGCACGAAGGCCAGGGGAGCAAACGGG
rnacentral:rRNA from 1 species